UAAUACGGAAGGUCCGGGCGUUAUCCGGAUUUAUUGGGUUUAAAGGGAGCGUAGGCCGUUUGGUAAGCGUGUUGUGAAAUGUCGGGGCUCAACCUGGGCAUUGCAGCGCGAACUGCCAGACUUGAGUGCGCAGGAAGUAGGCGGAAUUCGUCGUGUAGCGGUGAAAUGCUUAGAUAUGACGAAGAACUCCGAUUGCGAAGGCAGCCUGCUGUAGCGCAACUGACGCUGAAGCUCGAAAGCGUGGGUAUCGAACAGGAUUAGAUACCCUGGUAGUCCACGCGGUAAACGAUGGAUGCUCGCUGUUUGCGUCUGACGUAAGCGGCCAAGCGAAAGCGUUAAGCAUCCCACCUGGGGAGUACGCCGGCAACGGUG
rnacentral:rRNA from 1 species